rnacentral:tRNA from 1 species
GCCCGGGUGGCGGAACUGGUAGACGCGCUGGAUUCAAAAUCCUGUGCCUUCGGGCGUGCCGGUUCGAUUCCGGCCCCGGGUACAA